GCAGUGUGGUUCAGUGGUAGAAUUCUCCCCUUUCAUGUGGGAGACCUGGGUUCAAUUCCCAGCCAAUGUA
rnacentral:tRNA from 1 species